rnacentral:rRNA from 1 species
UACGUAGGGUGCAAGCGUUACUCGGAAUUACUGGGCGUAAAGCGUGCGCAGGCGGUGAUGUAAGACAGAUGUGAAAUCCCCGGGCUCAACCUGGGAACUGCAUUUGUGACUGCCUCGCUGGAGUGCGGCAGAGGGGGAUGGAAUUCCGCGUGUAGCAGUGAAAUGCGUAGAUAUGCGGAGGAACACCGAUGGCGAAGGCAAUCCCCUGGGCCUGCACUGACGCUCAUGCACGAAAGCGUGGGGAGCAAACAGG